AGCGAAUAGAUACCCGGGUAGUCCCAGCCGUAAACGAUGCUCGCUAGGUGUCAGGCAUGGCGCGACCGUGUCUGGUGCCGCAGGGAAGCCGUGAAGCGAGCCACCUGGGAAGUACGGCCGCAAGGCUGAAACUUAAAGGAAUUGGCGGGGGAGCACAACAACGGGUGGAGCCUGCGGUUUAAUUGGACUCAACGCCGGACAACUCACCGGGGGCGACAACAAUAUGUAGGCCAGGCUGAAGACCUUGCCUGAAUCGCUGAGAGGAGGUGCAUGGCCGUCGCCAGUUCGUACUGUGAAGCAUCCUGUUAAGUCAGGCAACGAGCGAGACCCGUGCCCACUGUUACCAGCAUAUUCUCCGGAAUGAUGGGUACUCUGUGGGGACCGCCGAUGUUAAAUCGGAGGAAGGUGCGGGCCACGGUAGGUCAGUAUGCCCCGAAUCUCCCGGGCUACACGCGGGCUACAAUGGAUGGGACAAUGGGUCCCUACCCUGAAAAGGGCUGGUAAUCUCACAAACCCAUUCGUAGUUCGGAUCGAGGGCUGUAAC
rnacentral:rRNA from 1 species